CACCUCCCUCUCUCUCUCCUCCUUGUCUCUCUCAUAUUAAAUCAUUUGCAUCUCACUCUCUCUUUCUACCAUAAGAUGUGGCCUUUCUCCCUUUAAGCUCUCUAUCAUAUUUUGAUGAUUUUUUUCCAGCUGGACAUCUAGAAAGAUAGAGAAGAAGAAGCAUCUCCACUUUUUUCAUUGGGUAUCUUUUUGGUAUAGAUCAGAGGCAAUGAAAUCCAAAACCACAGUCUUGGGUGCUGACGAUAAUGUCCCAAUGGGUUUCUUGUGAGCAUUCAGGUUUAAGGCUUGAUUUGGGAAAUGACUCAAUCUUGGGUAGAUAUUGAAAAUUUACCAUCAACUUCUGCUUCGCCUUCUAAUUCACCACCUGUUUUUGCUCAAUAUCAACCCAAUUCGUGCACAAGGACGACAUUUUUCGGCCAAGUACUGCCCUCUUAUGCCUCCUCCUAGGUCAAACUAUUGCUGCUGCCUUCAGUCCAUAUGGGAAAACUCUUACUUCCACACAUGACCACACUGUCAAAAUAAUUGAUUGUCAAAUUAGAAGCUGCUUAAAGGUCUUUAGUGGUCAUCGUAGAACUCCUUGGGUGGUAGUGAACCUUAUAAGGGGUGUUGUUCUUGCUCGGGCAUCCUGAUAGCUGUCUAGGUGAUUCGCAUUGGAAAUCACCAUGCUUGGCCCAGGCAUUUCAAUGAUUGUAGUUGUUUAAGUUGGCGUGGAACCUGGCCUAGUCCUGAAUUGGGACUCAGCCUGGUCCCAAUCUGUGUAUAUCUCUGCAGGGACUCUUAUUUGCGUGAGGAUACAUGUGCGUGUUUGUGUCGGUAUGUUGGCUGGAAAUGGUGGGGGGAGAAAUCCUCUAAGAUGUUCAAAUUGGUGCUGCAUUUGAAGAGUUGAAGAAACCGGUAGCAAACCCACAUAUACGAGAGGUCUACAAAGCUCUUAAACAAGUCCACGGCCUUGCUCUUCCUGUCUUCAUGCAAGCAUAUAAUAAAAUGAUGGCAGACAUAAAUAUUACUGAGGGAUUCUUAGAAAUGACUGAAGAAGAUCGGGUGUUUUGAAUUAACUCGAAGUAUUUUCAAGAGGGCGGUGACAUGUAAAGUGGAGUGAAUUCCACAAUUUUUUUAUAUGGGUUCCUCUCUCUCUCUC